CUGCUGCCUCCCGUAGGAGUCUGGUCCGUGUCUCAGUACCAGUGUGGGGGACCUUCCUCUCAGAACCCCUAGACAUCGUCGCCUUGGUGGGCCGUUACCCCGCCAACAAGCCAAUGUCACGCAUGCCCAUCCGUCUCCGGAGUCGCCUCCUUUGGCCGAAAGAAGAUGCCUCCCCUCGGCCACAUGCGGUAUUAGGCCGGAUUUCUCCGGGUUAUCCCGCUGAAACGGGCAGGUUGCAUACGCGUUACUCACCCGUGCGCCGGUCGCCGG
rnacentral:rRNA from 1 species